AUUGAACGCUGGCGGCAGGCCUAACACAUGCAAGUCGAGCGCGCGGCGGACGGGUGAGUAAUGUAUGGGGACUGCCCUAUAGCUGGGGAUACCUACUGGAAACGGUGCCUAAUACCGCAUACUAUCGGAUAACCCAUAUGGGAUUAGCGAGUAGGUGGGGAAAAGGCUCACCAAGGCCACGAGCUCUAGCUGGUCUGAGAGGAUGAUCGGCCACACUGGGACGGAGACACGGCCCAGACUCCUACGGAGGCAGCAGUGGGGAAUAGUGCACAAUGGGCGAAAGCCUGAUGCAGCCAUGCCGCGUGUAUGAAGAAGGCCUUAGGGUUGUAAAGUACUUUCAGCGGGGAGGCGUUACCCGCAGAAGAAGCACCGGCUAACUCCGUGCCAGCAGCCGCGGUAAUAC
rnacentral:rRNA from 1 species